rnacentral:miRNA from 1 species
GGGGCUGGCGGCGCGCC